GGUAUACACACUGCAUUCUAACUGCACACAGAGCGGUAUACACACUGCAUUCUAACUGCACACAGAGAGGUAUACACACUGCAUUCUAACUGCAAACAGAGACAUAUACACACCACAUUCUAACUGCACACACAGAGGUAUACGCACUGCAUUUUAACUGCACACAGAGAGGUAUACACACUGCAUUCUAACUGCACACAUAGAGAUAUACACACUGCAUUCUAACUGCACACAGAGAGG